rnacentral:tRNA from 1 species
GGUCUCAUGGUGUAAUGGUUAGCACUCUGGACUUUGAAUCCAGCGAUCCGAGUUCGAGUCUCGGUGGGACCU